GGCUCAGGAUGAACGCUAGCUACAGGCUUAACACAUGCAAGGUCGAGGGGAAACGAUAUUGGAAGCUUGCUUCUGAUAGGCGUCGACCGGCGCACGGGUGAGUAACGCGUAUCCAACCUGCCCAUCACUUGGGGAUAACCUUGCGAAAGUAAGACUAAUACCCAAUGACGUCUCUAGAAGACAUCUGAAAGAGAUUAAAGAUUUAUCGGUGAUGGAUGGGGAUGCGUCUGAUUAGCUUGUUGGCGGGGUAACGGCCCACCAAGGCGACGAUCAGUAGGGGGUUCUGAGAGGAAGGUCCCCCACAUUGGAACUGAGACACGGUCCAAAACUCCUACGGGAGGCAGCAGUGAGGAAUAUUGGUCAAUGGACGAGAGUCUGAACCAGCCAAGUAGCGUGCAGGAUGACGGCCCUAUGGGUUGUAAACUGCUUUUAUAAGGGAAUAAAGUGGGAGUCGUGACUCUUUUUGCAUGUACCUUAUGAAUAAGGACCGGCUAAUUCCGUG
rnacentral:rRNA from 1 species